UCUUGAUUUGCCAAACUUGCCAAAAGGAUUCUGUACAGGCUAUUGCUGUAUUGGGCUCAUUUAUCUGUUUAUAACAUGUUUGGUGAGUCGAGCGGGAACAAUUUAUUUUUCUUUUGUGCUUAACUUGGAAUUACACAAUUUUAACAGCUAUCAUACAUUUUGUUAGUAGCCUACUGAGCACAUAACUUUCUUAUUCAGGAUGUUGAUUUUAUUGAAAAUGAAGAUGAUCACAGUAUUGGGACCUACAAGUAGAUAAUAGCAGAGGAACUAAAUGAGAGAAAUAUAGCAGAUGAGCAGUGCUGCAGUGAACAACUCAUAGGAUGUUGAUUUUCUUGAAAAUGAAGAUGAUCACAGUAUUGGAACUCACAAAUAGCUAAUAGCAGAGAAACUAAAAGGGUGAAAUAUAGCAGAUGAGCAGUGAACAACUGAUAGAUUGUAAGUCCAUUCCAAUGAUGAACUCUGAAUUAUCACUAGAUCACAGUUCGAAUGAAAGCUUUAAUUACACAAAAGCAAUGGCAGUGAUGGACUCUUUGUUACAGGAUUUUCAAUCUACAAAUACCAUUAGAUAGCAGAAAAGCUUGACAUUCAUUACAGCAUACUACUGCUCCUGCCAAAUGAAGAAUUCCCAUUCAAAAAACAAAAAAGGCGUACCUUGACUUUCUCAUUACGACUGUAUUUAUUUGCGACCUUUAGUAGUCAAUUUCGCCGAAUAUUUACUGUUUUAAUAAAUUGUUUAAAGCU